AGCCUUGUAGCUCAAUAAGCAGAGCAUCCGCCUUUGAAGCGGAGGGUUGGUGGUGCGAACCCACCCGAGGCUGCCA
rnacentral:tRNA from 1 species